CCAAAUUAACUUAAAAAAAUACUAAUUAACUCUAAAUAAUAAUUAUCACAAAUAAUUCAAUACUAAAUUAAAAGAAAAUCACAAAAGUUGACUAAAAAUACAAAAACAUGUUAUUUUAUUUUUUUUGAAUUUUUCAUUUUUGUAAAACACCUAAUUAUUAAUUAAUUUCAAAAAAGGUAAAAAUCAAAUCUUAAGUGCAGAUGCUAUAUUUGUUUUUGUAUUUUUAAUGUAUUAAUUAAAUUAAACAUGCACACAAACAUAUGCAAAUAAUCAGGAAAAUUGCACAAUAAUUCCUAAAAUAACACAUAAUUAAGGAAAAGACCCAAUUUUGGGAAUUCUUUUGGAGUAAUUCGUGUGAGGCAAAAAUCACGUGCUCACAAUAAUUACUUAUAACAGUCCAGGAAUAUGAAAUUUGAUGUUCAUUGAUCAUGUACAUAUACUCUUGUGCAUAUGCUUGAUGUGUGAUAUGGAUUGGACCGAUAUCUUAUGACCAUGCUAGACGGAUUGAGUUAUUGGGCCUGUGACCACGUCGGAAUUAUAUUAUUGAGCUUGUGACCAUGCCAGGAGGAUUGUAUUAUUGAGACCGUGACCACGCUAGGCGAAUUAUGUUAUUGAGCCUAGGACCACAUUGGACAGAUUAUGAUAUAAACCUUGUGACCACGCCCGGCAGAUUGUGAUAUUGAGCUUGUGACCAUGUUGGGCGAAUUGUUAUUAUUAGCACGUGAGUUGUCCGUGCGGAUCCGAGAUAUUGAUAUUAUUGGCAUGUGAAUUUUUCGUGCAGUUAGUAUAUUAUUGGCACGUGAGUUGUCCGUGAAACACGUGAGUUGUCCAUGCGGAUCCGAGAUAUUGAUAUUAUUGGUACGUGAGUUGUUCGUGCAACACGUGAGUUAUCCUUGCAGUUGAUAUAUUAUUGGCACGUGAGUUGUCCGUGCAUCAUGUGAGUUGUCCCUGCAACGUGUGGAUAUGGAUCCAUCCCCACCAGGGUCACCCUCUCAUGUUCCUUCUUGAUGGUGUACAUGUGGAUUGAGAGAAAUCGACGAGUUUCUGGUUGAUGUGAACUUUGGAAAAGCUAAUAAGUGGUUUUGUCCGGUUACUGUACUCGUGAUGUGGGCUUAGAGCCGUAUUGCGAUUUAUAUUUGGAUCGGGUUGCACGCCGCAACGAAUUGAUGUUUUGGUUAUUGCAUUCCAUCUUUACUUGCAAUUUUCUUGGUUGUUUACUUGAUUUAUUUGCAUAUCCUCUUUAUAUGCUGGAUUGUUGACUGAGGAGAGUACAUUGAGGUAUUGUGUGAACCAUGGUGAUUUUAUCCAUGAUUCAUGGCUUGAUCAUAUUAUUAUUAUGUACUUGUUGGAAUUAUGAACUAUACAUGUGAUAAUUGGCGAGUAUCAUUUAUAAUUCUUGCUUCUGUUACCUUGCCGAGGUUAGUUAUGAUACUUGCUGAGUACAUGAGGUCGGUUGUAUUCAUACUAUACUUCUGCACCUUGCGUGCAUUACUUGGAGCUGAGAUGUUGUGGAUGGCGGGAGCAGACAUUGAAGACGUACCUACUUUCCACAACAUAUAUAGCUACCACUUGUCCUUGGUAGUUUUAGCUUCGUAUUUUGUUUAUGUAUAUUCCAAACAGAUGUUGUAUUUAUUUUUAUACUAGCUUUGUAAAUCUAAGUCUUAGUGCUCAUGACUUGUACUACCGGUUCUUGGGAUAUUGUAUGAAUAAUUUAGCUAUCUCAUUUGUUGACUACUUUUAUUUCAUUAGAGUUGUGUUGACUGUUGCUUGACUUAUCUUGGGGGUUGGGUUAAGUACCAUCACAACAUUAGGUGAAUUUUGGAUCGUAACACUUAAUCACGAGGAUUUCUUUCCAAGCAAGCAGACCCCUUCUCCCUAACCCCCUAAAAAUAAUUAAAUAAACACAAAGCAUUCUUUAUUAUUUAUUCAAAUCUAUUCAGGUUGAGCUUAUGAGAACGUGCAUUGGACCUAAUUAGGAUUUGGUUUCAACUUUUAAAAAAAGGUAUAUAUUUUAACCUCAACUUGGUGCAUGUAAUUUCAUUACGUAUCAUGCCUCAACCUUGCUUUUUGUACUGGAUGCCCCUGUAUUAAUGGAUAUUAGAAUUAAGGACAGCAACAAUAUGCUUAAAAUUAGUGGUAAAAAUAUAAAUACUUUCAAUCAUGGAAAUAAGUAUCACAAGUGAUAGUAUAGUGGAAAAUGAAGUACUAGGCGAUCAUAUGAAUAAAAAUUAUCGUAAUACGUAAUAAUUUUGAGAAAGGAAUACGAUGGCAUUCUGAAUAAAAUAGGAAAUCAAAUAUUUGGGAGCUUUUGGUUUAACUACAUAUCUCACCAAAGAAAUGCUGCUGUAUGCGUAACACAUACAUAGGAGGAAGUGAUAUGAAUGACGAAUCAGUAUAUUAGAACGUACUGUAUUUCUAUCUCUAGCUAACAAGAAAGAGAAUAAAAAUUUUGUUCCCUUCAUUAUUGCAGUGAAAUCCGAUCCCUAUAAUAUCCAAACCAAGCAUAUUUAACCUUUAAUAAUAGUAUAUUUUGUACCUCCAGUCCCUCCACUAACAAAUGUCCAUAAAUUUAGCGAAAUCUUAAUGAUAUUGUUAAAAACUGUGUCCUGUGUGAGUAAUUGUCUUUUAAAAUAUUAAAUUUUAGAUUUGAAAAUGUGGCAGUGAAAACCCAAAAGCAUGCAAUUGGUUUGACUUUUCGGUUUGGUGUGAUUUUUAGGUUCGGUUUGAACACCCCUAUACAAUAUCAUUUAAUGGAGAUCAAAAUUUGACGAGCGCAAAACCAAUAUAUAAAACUUAGGCUCGCUAAUCAAAGAUAGUAUAGUUAUUAAAUCGUCUCCACGAGGAUUGAUUUAAAUAAUAUUAAAAUAAAUCUCCAACUUAACAUUAUUCAGGAAAAUAAGCCUUUGAUUUUGAAAAUUAAAGAACAAAGAGUAACACUAAGCUUAUCAUUACGAAUAAAUAAUGGAAAUUGGAUAGUUAAGUAGCAACAAUUGAAUAUCAAUGAGAGAAAUAAGGGCUUUGACAAGAUAUGUGCUCAACUAUUAUUCGGAAUAUAACUUUGUGCUAAGUUCACUCUUAGUUUCUAUUGACUAUUUCGAUUUCAACAGAUGAUUAGAUUAUCUUAAGGAUUCAAAUUCUUCUUCUGAAUGCAUGAGAGUUCCGUUAAACAACCUAAUGACAAGUUCUAUGAACGUAUGCAAGAAUGCGUUGAAUGAAUGGUCUUACGAAGAACGUCUCUCGACUAUUCCUCUAAAUUGGGUCAAUUGAUAACUCUACAAGAUCUUUUGAUUACUUAUAAGAGGCAUGAAAUUAACCCAAUCAAGAUAACAUAAUGAUAAUUACAGCAACACUUCUCUUCCGAUUAAAGUAAAACCACAAAUACCUUUGCAAUUCAAUUAGAAACUUGAUCAACGAAUUCAAGUAAUUAACAGAAACUAAAUCCUUGAAUAAUAUUCAAGUCACAACAUCUGUCAAUAACCCUAAAAAGGAUAACUCCAUAGUGGAGAAAUUUUUCAUCACAAGAGUAUUGAAAGAACAAGAAAACAUUACAAACCACGAAUUCAAACAUACUUUCGUAUUGAAUGAUUCAGAUGAAGUGUUCCAAGCCUCAGCUGUUUCAUUUCCUUCUUCUCUCCAAAAGUUGCUCCAAAAUCCCAGAUACCUAGUUUGGGACGAGCUUAGGCUUCGUAUAGGUUAGAGAAAUUUCUAAAAAUAAUAAAAUUAGGCCCGACUUAAAUUUUUCGGAAGCGGACGUGCGCUGCCACGCACCUGGGUGGUUGGGCGCGCUCAUGGACACGCAUUACCUCCAGGCCGUCUGUCAUUGGUGCACGCUAAGAUGCGCGUUAAUGGCUUCAGCUGCGCGGCCGCACAACUUUUUCUUCCUUUCCUCAACUUGUUUUUCUCCCACUUUGUGCAUUAUUUGUCUAUUGAUUAUCUCAUCAACACAUGCACCGAAAAGUAACAUGUUAGACCGUAAUUCAGGCAAAGUCCCUAUCAAAUCAACCCGAUUAAGGACACAAAAAAUAUUUUAAAUGUCAAUUAAUUUUAAGCUCAUCAAAUAUAUUCCAAGGAGGCCUACAUUAUUCUACGUUCGAGAAACGCUAAUCCAGCCCUCAAAUCAUAAAGAAUUAUUCGGAGAGAAGAAUCAAAGGAACAAGUGUAAUUGUGCUCACAAUAUAAUUAUUAUUUUUUUCAUAUUUUGUUUGUGAUUGUAGUUAAUUUUUCAUAUCUUGAAAACUUAUUGCAAACAUCUCUUACACAUGUUUGAAUAUACUCUCUCUGUCUCAAAUUAUCUGUCGUGUUUUUCUUUUAUACACCCCAAAGAAAGUAUUAUGUAGGAGGAAAGUUUGACUUUUUAAUCCUUAUUUAUGUCUUUAAAUAUAAUCUCUCUUCAUUGCAUAUUUACUCCAUAGUAGAGGAAUAGUCUUCAAGAACAAUUACUACUAUUAAGUAUAAAAUGAAAAAAUAUAAUUAAUUUUGUCUUGAACUUCUAAAAUGACAAAUUAUUGUCACAACCCAAUUUUUCCUCCGUUGGGUAUCGUGAUGGCACCUAGUCUUAGGGACUGGGUAAACCUAACGUUUACUGAAUAACAACAAUAAUAAAGAAAACAGUAUCGAUACAGAAAUCUUUACAAAAUUUACAAUUUUCCAAAAUCGGUAGUACAAGUCAUAAGCUCUACAGAGUUUACUACAACUUUUAAAUACAACUGUUUGGAAAUAAGUAAAACAGUGUGAAUAAGAAUUUAGGAAGGUGACUCCGAAGCCUGCAAAAGCAGCAACAAGUUUACCUUGUGUCUCCACAGCAACGAUCCACACAACUACUAACAAACAAAUACCUGGAUUUGUAAAAAAUAUACAGNNNNNNNNNNNNNNNNNNNNNNNNNAUCAAGACACCUACUGGUCUAAUAAAUUGAACAAGUAUAAGUAUAAGAACAACAAUGCAUGAUUUCUGCAUGAAAGCUACGCAAUAUGACUAACAAUCCGGUAAUUACAAUAAGAAAGGGAAAAACGAUCAGUACCAGCGGAAUACCAUAAUAAUGACACAAAAGAGUGAGCGGAAACACAACCUAAAUCCGAAACCACAGAUACAUCAAGGACAAAUAGUAACUCAGCAACUACGACAGCUUUCACAUUUGAUUUUAGUCAACAACCUUCACGGAGUAUCGAACCUCGGAUAAAUUACAACUCACGGGUCUCAAUACCUGAACCCUAACACUUGGCAUCAUGUGCUCUCAUCACACCUCAUAAUCAUGCUGACAACACACGUGCCAAAUAGAGCCACUCUCACAUAGGAGGCAAGUAAACAAGGGUGUGCACCUAUACUCAACAAUAUCAAGGAAACCUCUUAUCCGAUAAGGGUGCUUAGCCACGUGUAUGCUUGUACAAGUGUCCUAACAUAGUUCAUACUAGCUAGUAAGCAUAAGAAAAAGAACGGACAACACGUUGAAUGUUUACACAUGAAUAAAAUUAAUGAAAAGCAACAACUCAGAAUACAGUGAUAACAACAGGGGAUCUCCCAGGAUACUGUCCCGUAGUCCCAAACGUAAAUGUGCAAGGGGAUCUCCCGGAAUACCAUUCUAUAGUCCCAAAGUAAAUAUGCAGUGCUGGGGGAUCUCCCGAAAUACGUUCCGUAGUCCCAAAGUAAAUAUGCAGUACAGAGGGAUCUCCCAGAAUACCCUUCCAUAGUCCCAAAGUAAAUAUGCAGUAUAGGGGGAUCUCCUGGAAUACCGUUUCGUAGUCCUAAAGUAAAUAGGCAGGGCAACCAACAGAGAUAACAGUUACAACACGGUAGAAACCUCGUGCAUCACCACAACAAGUACAACAACAACAAUGGCAAUAAUACAAAGUACGACAAGUAAAUCAACUCAAGAACUUUAAAUCACAAAGAAACGGUAGAACCAGUUCAUAAGGAAUAACCAUAGUAAAGACUGUUAGGCAUAAAGAGAACAAUUCAACAAGGGAAACCCAAUAUGUAGCAACGAUCCCACAAUAUACAAUUCAACAGUAAAGAAGCUAACGCGAGUCAAAUAGUUCCAAAUAAAGACAAGUCAACUAGGAUAUAGGAUGUCUAAACUUCUUUUAAGGUUGAACAAUUUCGAGGAUAUUCGAUAAUUCAAUUAAAGAUAAGCCGCAGAAAGAUAAUCAUAACCUCAAUUAAGACUAAACAAUUAUAAGGUGAGAUGAUGAUAAUUUUAAAUAAAGAUAAGCAGUUAUGAAAAGAUAGCAUGACAAUAGAAGAGGUAAAAUAUUUAGUUAAGUCAAUUAAGAAUCAAAUAAGCAAUAAGAGUGAAUCCUAAAGCAAUUAAUUCCAAUUUAAGCAAGUAGAGUUGAGACCAGUAAAUAGGAACUCAGUCAUAUCAAGAACAAUUUCAUACACAGUGAAUAUAAAGACCUAAGAACCCUAAAAGGUCACUCGUCACCUCGCGUACACGGAUUAUAAUCAACAUAGAAGACUCAAAUCCUAAGAAAAAGGUUAGACAAGAUACUUACCUCAAAGAAGACAAACCAAUACUCUAAAAUAAACUUCUCGGGUGAAAAGACCUCCGGACGGCUCAAAUCUAAUCAAAAUAACUUCAAAGCACAAAUAAAACUCAUAAGAAACUAUUCCAGAUCAUAAAGUCUCAACCUUUAAUAAAAUCCAAAAAUCGGUCCAAAAGAUGACCCCCGGGCCCGCACCUCGGAACCCAAUAAAUUUUAUAAAAAUCGAAUACCAUUCCGAUACAAGUUCAACCAUACAAAAAUUAUCAAAUUCCGAUACUAUUUGGUCCCCAAUAUCAUGAUUUUUCAUUUUGAAAACAUUCUUCAUAAACCACCAUUUUCCUCAACUCAAAACACAAAUUAAAUGAUAAAAAUAAAGAUAAAAUCGUGGAACAUAUUAAAUUCUAGGUGAAGAACACUUGCCCAAUCGAUUUGCUUGAAAAACCCACAAAAAAUCGCUCAAAAUCGAGCUCUACAAGUCAAAAUAUGAUAAAAAUGGUCUAACCCUCGAUUUGGGAAUAUAUUAUGCCUGCCCAGUAGUUAUGCAUCACGAACGCGGAAGAACAAUCGCGUACGCGAAGAAGGAAAAUGAAAGCUGCUCAGUUGUGCUUCGCGAACGCAACCACACGUUCGCGAACGCGAAGAAGAAAAGUGUGAUGGCCCAGCGACUGGUUUUCACGAACGGGCGAAGCAGUACACGAAGAGUGGAAUUGCCUAACUACGCGAACACGUGAGAUGAACGCGAGCGCGAUGAAGGAAAAGACAGACCUUCCCGAACGCGAAGAUGAAAUUUGGGGUGGUUAGCAGAAGCACUUCGCGAACGUGAAAAGCACUUCGCGAUCGUGAAGAAGGUCACCAGAAGAGAGAAUCAGUAGUUCAAAAAUAAGAAGAAUUGACUCGUAGCCCAUCCGGAACAGACCCAGGGCCCUCGAGACCCCGUCUAAACACACAAACAAGUUCUAUAACCUAACACAGACUCGCUCGGGGUCUCAAAUUAUAUCAAACAACACCGAAAAUGCAAAUCGCGCCAUGAAUCGAACAAUGAACUUCCAAAUGUUCCAACUUCGAAAACUCGUGCCGAAAUCAAUCAAAUCAACUCGGAAUGGCGCCAAAUUUUGCAGACAUGACAGAGAUGCUCCAACUCUCGAAAUCGCAUUCCAACCCUGAUAUAACAAAAGUCAAUCGUGGGUCAAACUUCUCCAUUUUCCAAACUUCAACUUUUUCAACUUUCGCCGAUUUGCCUCAAAUUACUCUACGGACCUCCAAAUCCAAAUCCGGGCGCGCGCCUAAGUCCAAAAUCACCAUACGAAGCUGCUGACAUCAUCCAAAACUCAUCCCGGAGCCGUUUACACAAAAGUCACAUUCCGGUCAAAUUCUCACCACUUAUGCUUUCAAAACUAGAUUCCUUCUUCUAAUUCGACUUCGAACAUCCGGUAACUGAAUUCAAUCAUGCACGCAAGUCGAUAAACAUAUUAUGAAGCUGUUCAAGACCUUAUGCCGCCGAACGGAGCUUCAAAUUCUUAAAAUGACCGGCCGAGUCGUUACAAUUAUUUUCAAAGAAUACGGUAGAUAAUUUGAGACGGAGGGAGCAUAUUGAUAGUGUAAAUACAAGCUAAAUCCAUUAACUACGGCAGCGAAUCACCACAUUAAAUGCAAUUUAAUUGAAUGAUGAUGUAUUGAAAUUGAAUGAAAAUCAGAACCCAUUGAUUGCAUGCUUAGUAAUUACUCUGACUGAGUUCAAGAGACAACACAUCUCUUCGUGAAAAUUUACUGUGGGAAAUCUUAACAAUGCAGCAUCCAGAUUUUGGUGAGGAUUUAUUUGGAUACCGUAUCGUUUAUUUUCAAAAUCCUUUCUAUUUUGCCAGCAGAUACUCUGCAUCCUAUUCCAUCUUCCAUAUGACCACAUCAAAUGAAAUACUGAGACCUACUUGACUUUUUUUAAAUAUCAAAUAGUUUAGUUAUUUGUUUAUUAAUUUAACUUGUAUAUAUGUAUAAUCGCAAUAUAAUUUUUUUUGUACUAUCAAUGUAAUUUAACAUAUUGUUACAAAUGGUCUGUCUUCAUUUUCAUGUUACUAAUUUCUCUCAACAUGUGCAGUUACCUAUAGCAUUCUUUUACACUACCGAUGAUUACUCUUUAAUUACCUACAUAUACUAAAACCAAAAUAUUGUCCUCCGAACACCACCCCCCCCCCCCCCCACCGUACGAAAAAGAAAGAAAAUAAGGAAUGAGCUGGAGGGAGCAUAGCAGGAAUCGGUGUGCAGAUAUAUAUACUUAUGGAUAUUGUUUAAGUGAAAAUCAAGAGAGCCCAAAUAUGAAGAUCGCGAAAUAUCUGUGACAAUCCUUUUAUUUGAUUUUAUUUUGUUGAUUCCUUCCCUUAAAAAAACCACUCCACGCCAUCCUUUUAGUCCAAUUACCUCUUCUUCUCCUCCUCCUCCUCCUCCUCUUCUUCUUCUUCUUCUUUCUUUCCAUUACUUUUUCUUUAAAGUUUCAUUCUUGAUUUUUCUCUCUGCAUGUUAUUUUCUUGUGUAAAAGUGAAAUUUCUGCGGAUUAAGUGAAAAAAAUGGAGACCUUUGCUUCUUCUGCUUCAUCGUUAUCAAUUUCAAGCGAACCCCAUGUGCUAGCUGUGGAUGACAAUCUUGUUGAUCGUAAACUUGUGGAGAAGUUACUCAAGAAAUCCUCUUGCAAAGGUAAGCACUUUUUUUUGAAUAUCCUCACCUUGUAUUUAAUUUAAUUUAAUUUAAUUAGAAUAAGUGGAUGGGAUGUUUUCUCAAGCACUGCAUUGUGCAACGUAGAGUCGUAGACAAAUAAAAUUCCCAGAAAAGAGGAACAUAAGAAAGACAGGAGAUGAAGAUUUUAUAAUGUUGAAUCUUUCAACAGGAGACACCCUUUAGCAAGGAUAUAUGUCAUCAAAUACUGCUUUGCAAGAAUAUUUUUCUAAUAUUCUGUGUACACAAUUUUUUUCUAGAAACAGUAGGUACAUAGAUAAUAUAAAGGUCGCCACCACAUUAAAACAAGGCAGAUUCAUCACAUCGCCAGCAGGUUCAUGUAUAUUUUCCAUAUUGAACAUGAUUUAUAAGUGAAAAUCUACUAAAAUGUACAUAAAUAUUAUAUUUGAACCCUUAAUUUUAAAACUAAAAUAAGGUUAGUAUUAAAAAAAACUAUAAGCCAAACCUCUCAAGUUUAACAGUGGAUCUGCCUCUAUUUUAAUUAAAAUAAUACAAAUAUUAGUUGGUAUAUGAAGUAAAGCUUUAAUAAGCACCAAAACCUCGAUCUAAUCCCGCUUAAUUAAAAACCAAAUUAUGAAUAUAUGUGACACUAUAUGUGUAAAAUUCUGCCUACGCUAGGACUCAACACCCCCACCAGGUCCCCGAAGAAGAAAACUCUUAGUCGAAGGGGAAAAAAACUAAAGCGUGCCUGAAAACUCAAUCGAUAUUGACAUUUACCUAGUCCUUUGGUCAACCUUUUGGAUUUGCCAACAGCUGUACCUACGUUGUUUUUCUUUAUGUUUGUUUUACAUCUUUAAAUCUUUCACAAUCCUUCGUUGUAGACUUUCUUUUCAGCCCAUGUGGUUCAUAACGUGCGCGACUCAACUCGUUGCUUUUCAUUAUUUUCCUUACCCAUAAAUGGGAAAGACACAACCCGGAUAUAUAAUAUAACUUACUAUAUUGUCUCAGUUUGGUCGGAAAUUAACACCAUCCAUUCACUGGAUUAUCUGUACCUUGUACAUAUAUACAAGCUAAUUAAGUUCUUUUUUUUUUUUGCUGCAAUCCAACUGUUAAAUUACGCGAUUGUUUUGCUCUACACAUGGCUAUUAAAGAUGUUAAUGUGAAACAUUAUAUUAAUGCACAAGCAAGUGAAUAUUGGAUCAAUAAAUCUCAUGAUUUGAAAGUUUCCUUCAGUAACUACCGCAGAAGAUGGUCUGAGGGCUUUGGAGUACUUGGGUUUGGGAGCACAUCAUGACAGCUCUACAAAUAGCAAUGUGAGUCUCUAUUGAAUAAAGAUUGAGUUUGCAUUCUGCGCAGUGGUCACGUUAUAUGACAAUCUAAAAAAUAAAGUAAUAUAACCAAUUGAAUUGCAACUAGAUCUGUGUAUAUAACUUAAACACUCAAAUACUUGAAUAUUACAGGCUCUACUAAUUAGUUGUGGUGUUAAUUUAUAUAGUUUCUUGAGUGCAGGGUUCAAAAGUUAAUAUGAUAAUCACAGAUUAUUGCAUGCCAGGAAUGACAGGUUAUGAACUGCUUAAGAAAAUCAAGGUAGGUAGUUCAUUCCCAGUGAGCAGCAACAUAUAUACUUCUGCACAUAAUUAAUUCUACAAAAAUAACUCUUUAAUUUAGUUACUCAUCAUGAGUUUGAACUCAAAUUUGCUUCAUUGCAUUGCAAGCAGGAAUCGUCGAUCAUGAAGGAUGUGCCGGUUGUGAUAGUGUCAUCAGAGAAUAUUCCAACUCGAAUUAAUCAGUAAUAUAUUUUUGUCUUAUAGUAAUUAACUAACCACCUCAAUAUUAUAUUAUAUUUCAUUUUUGUAGCUGUGAUCUGAUACUGAACAAAGAGUACUUGUGUGAAAUGGACAGAUGCAUGGAAGAAGGAGCUCAGAUUUUCAUGCUGAAGCCUCUGAAGCACUCCGAUGUCGAAAGGCUUAGAUGUCAAAUAACGCAAUGCUGAUGAUAUAUUGACUCUUCUCAUCUGUCAUCUUCUAAAAGAAGAGAAAAAGAGAGAGAUAUUACCAUGUAUAAGAGUGAUUACGAGAUUCUAAAGACUCGUGAAUUCAAUUGUAUAUCUCUGGAGCUUUAGAAGUUCCUGCUUUCAUUAAGAAAAUGUAGACCUUGUUCUUUUCAUCUAUUUUGCUCUUCUCUGUCUCAUUCUACGGUUGCUUUCGAGUCACCCCAAGAGCAAGGUCGAAAGUUUUUGGAGGGAGGAAUGCCGAUGAUCUAUCAGAAACAACCUCUCUACCUCAGGAUAGGGAUAAAAUCUGCGUACACACUACCCUGGAAUUACAGUGGGUUAUUGUUGUCUGUCUCAUUCCACCAAGGAGCGUACCCUUUUGUGUCAGAGCUUGUAAUUGGUGGCAAGAUUUUGUACCACAACAUUUCUUAGUUAUAUUUCUCCUUUUAACUCCAACUAAUAUGGGGAAGUUGGAGAUUCACAAUCAUCAUUAAGAUUCUCCAAAAUCUGGAGGACUACUAUCCUUGAUUUUGAAUCACAAAUUCCCAAAAAAGAAAAGCAAAACAUAUGGAAUUUCGUGAUUAAGACAGCAAAUGGUUGAAAAGAUUCUAUUUUUCUUCAACCCCUUUGGACUCGGAGUGAACAAACAAUAUCUCAAAAGUAAACUAGCAGGUACAAGAUAAAGUAUACACAACAACCAAACUGAAACACUAAUAAUCCUCUGAAAUUGAACACAAAUUCACACAUUUAUCUUGCUAGAGUAGAAGACUCAAAAAAAACAAUUUCUUUAAUUUGGGAUUAACAGAAAUGGCUGUGGUGGUGGUGAUGAUGGUGUCUGUGUUCAUCCCAUCCAAGACACUGCAGAAAAGGAUAGCAGGCCAUAAAGAUACACCUGCUAAACAUGGAGAAAACAGAGGAGAGUAGCAAACAAGGGCAGCAACAACAUGCCAAAAAUGGAUCAUCAUAUGGACUGCCUCCUUCGUGGUGGUGGUGAUGAUGAUGGUGGUGAUGACCCAUCUUCUUCUUUCACCUGAAUUGAGAAAAUUAAUGAUUACCCACUACUCAAUUAGCACAUUCAAUCACACCCACUUGAUCAUAUAAUGAUUAUUGAUCAAAAAGAUGAAAAUCUUUGGGGAUAAAAAUGAAAUUCAAAUCAAGAAAUCAAGAGAACUACAUACCUUGUGAAAUGAACCUUCGUUUUUUUUUUUUUCUUUUGUUUGUAUAAUUGAAGAUUGUAUGAAGAGAAGGGAGAUUGGCAAUAAUACAGAUUUAAAAAAAGGGGACUAGUUGCUCGCAGAUUUCAGCUAAUUUUGGAAGAAUCGCUUUUUUCCUAUCCUUUAAAUACAGUUCUAAUCCAAUGGGACAAAUCAUCUGACGUGGCAACACAUAAGCGGUAGAGUUGACACUGGAAUUAAAAUAAUAAAAAAGCCCACUUCUCUUCUCAUACGCGGAGCAAACGCAAUGAGUCGUUUCUCAUGGGUAAUAACUCUAGAGGGAGCUUCGUAGAAAAGUACACAACUUCCAACUUAAGGAAUUGGCGUUUGCUUCAAACAUUCAAGACGAGUUUUUGCAAUUUUUCCUUUUUAUCCACCUAGCACCAACAACUUAUAAGUAUCGCUGUCCAACGAGACGGGACAGAACGGGACAUGACGGAAUUUUACUGGGACGGAAAAGGAACAGGCCUUAUCCGGGAUGGAAUAAACGGGAUGAUCCGGUAGGCUCGUCUUGUCCCACUAACAAGCGGGACGAGUCAUGGGCAAUGGCGAAGUCAGAACUAUUUUUAAGAGUGUUCAAACUUGAAAGAAGUAGAAAAAAAUUCCGACAAAAUGUGUUCAAUAUAGAUUUUAUAUAUCUAAAAUCAAUAUUUUACUUAUAUACACAGUGUAAUUUUUCAUAAUUUUCAGCGAAGGGUGGUCCCAUGGUCAUGGGCCCUAAGUGGGCAUUUUUUUUCUAAAUUUAAGGAUUUAAACAUUAAAGUUGACAACAGAUAUAUUUUUUAUAGUUAGCAACAAUUAUUUUUUUUAAAGUUGACAAUGAAUAAGUUUUUAAAGUUUGCAAUGGCUACUUUUUGACUUUUUUUCAAUGAACUUAAAACUUAAUAAAUUAUAAAAAAAAAGUAAGUAAAGAAUUAUAAAAUAUUUAAACAAGAGAUUUAUAGCGAAAUAUUUUAGUAAUUUUAAUGGACUUAUAAUUUAUUUUAUUUAAUCUCAAGCUAUAAAGUAACUAAGUAAGACAAUUAUUAACAAAAUUCAAGGCUAAAGCCUUUUAUUUUAUUAAUAAAUUUUUUAAAUUUCACACACAAAUACAAGUCUUUUGAAGAGCACCUCGUCUAUACAACCACCUUCUAGGAAGGGGUCUGUUUGAACUAGGCCUCUUAUUACUUAAUUACAAACUAUCAUACUAAUAUUUGUAAGCUCCUAUAUUAUUUUGUUUUAACUUAUCUAUAAUAUUUGUUGGACAUUCUUGUGAAAUUGGCAAUAUCGCUUGAUGUUCCACGAGUUCUAUGCCGUCAUCCUCCCCCCCUCCCCACCCACCCAAUUGCAAAGUAUCUUAGAAAGAAGAAAAUUUUCAAAAUCAAUACUUAUUCUUUUUGAAUUAAUCUAAUCUCUACAUAAAACGAAAAUCUCUAGGUUGUCUUCCGCUAAUGAAUGUCAAUGAUCUCCGAUUUAAAAUCUUACUGCGCUAAAAGCACUCUCCAAUGAUAUUGAUGAUACUUGAAUAGCCAGUAUAUCUCGGAUCAUUAUUGAAAGUGUUGGAAAUGCCUUGUCACGCCCCCUCUACCAUGCUAAAAGUUAUUCGUUGCCUUCUUCGUCUUUAAUAGAUUCCAAUCCCUGAUUAAGAUAAAAAUUAGGUUCAUCAUCAAUAGUGGAAUCAACACCUAAUAAAUCCUCCAUACCUUCCCACACUUCUUCUACUCUAGUAUUAGAAGUGGUAGGAGCAUUUACACCAUCUGAAGUCGCCAUAGUUUUAUAACUAUCAAAUAUUACUCUAGUGCGCGCGCUCGCGUGCACACAUAUAUAUAUAUACUAGCUUGGCAGUCUUCGAGAGUUGUCUUUUCAUUUUCUUUAAUUUCUAAAUUCUCAUAAAUUUUACGAAUAAGUCCCUUCGCACCUCUUAAUUUAAAAAAUGGAUAAGCAUAGUGGAAAUUAAAUAAACUUGGGGAAUAGGAAAAUAUAAUUUUAAAAUUUCGUACAAGUGAUGUUUUUGUAUGUUCAACCUUAGCCUUACUCCUUACAGGAGGUACAUGGGGUAAAGCUUCAGAUCGAGAUUGAUUCUGAGUUGGAGCUUGUAUUGCUAGACUAGUGGGUGUCUCAUCUAAUUCUUCUUCCUCAUUUUCUUCUUCAUUGCCAAAUUGUCUUUGUAAAGUAUUCAUGAUCGAGUUAUUCUCCCAGAUUAAUAUCAUAAAAUGCAGGGGAAUGGGUAAAGGAAGUUUCAUCAACACAAAUCAUUUCAUCUAUAUAUUUUCUGACUCUAGAAGGAGAAUUAAGGUUACUACAACUAUCAUAUUUACUACUUUUUUUAAAUGGGUUGGUUAUGCCAAAUACUUUUUAAGAGCCAUAAUUUAAAUGCGAAAAGUUAACACAAAAAUUAAACAUAAAAAUAAAACAUGUAAAGUAAACAUAAAACUUAAGCAUUAAAAUGAUACACAAGAAUUAAAUAUAAAAAUUAAGAGAUUGAAUGAACAGACUUCGUCCCAGAACCCCAUAACUCUACACGUUCGCGAGAGGACGGUCGCUUUCGCAAAGGGUAAGCCCCCCACUACUUCACGUUCACGAUAGUGUCCCCGCACUUGCAAUGAACAAUUCCACGCAAUCCCAAGUUUCACCUUCGCGAUCGCGAAGCAGAUCACUAUAGACACCAGAAACUGAUGAAAACUAGCAAUCUCCCAAGUCUGAAAUGGUCCGUAACCUAUCCGAAACUCACCCAAGUUUCUCGGGUUCCAAAUGAAACAUGCAUAGAAGUGUAAUAACAUCAUAUGAACUCGCUCACGUAAUAAAAAUACCAAAAUAACAUCUUUAACUAAGAAUCGAACAUUAAAAUACAUGAAAUUUCAAAGAAAACUCAAGAACCUCUAAAAUCACAACCAAGCGCCGAAUCCAAUCAAACCAACUCCGAUUUGCACCAAAUUUUACAGACAAGUUUCAAAUAGCAUAACGGACCUAUACCAAAUCUCAAAACUAAAAUCUGAACCCGAUAACCAUAAAGUCAACCUACGGUCAAACAUAGGGAAUUCCAAACUUUCAAAUUACUAGUUUUCGGCAAAACAAGUCAAAUCAACCUAAGGACCCCCGAAUCCAAUCCGGGCAUACGCUCAAGUCCAAAAUCACGAUAUGGACCUACCGAAAUCGUUGAAACAUCGAUCCGUGAUCGUUUACACAAAAAAAUAUUGACCGUACUCAACUCAAGUUAUUUUUAAAGCCAAAAAUUAUAUAUUUUUUUAAAAUUUUCACAUAAAAACUUUCCGAAAAAAGGGUUGAACUGCACUGGUAAAUCAAGAAACAUAAAAUAGGGCUGAUGAAGGUCUUGAAACACGAUAAUAAAGGCUACUACUCAAAAUGACUUAUCGGGUCGUCACGAUUAAAAAGCUACAAUUAAGGAUACUCAUUUAAUACUUAUUUGUAUAUAAUUGGUAAAAUGCAUAUCAACUUGUAAUUAAGUUAAAACUUAAAUAGUGAGGUAAAUAAGUUUUAAAAUUAGUACAACUAUGUAAAAAUCUCUUGUAAACAUAGUAUCUUUGUAAAAACUAAAAACGAAAGAUAUCUUUGUUCCUUAAAGACGACCAUUAAUGUGUAAAUGCAAAAUUUAUGAAAGGAAUCAAGUGAUUAUUUUUUUUUAUAAAGUCCUUUUCUCAUUAAAUAUUAUGUAAACCUUUCAACUUUCAUCCUUGGUUUCCACAAUAUUCAAUUUCCUUUUUUAAUCUUUCUCAUUUCUCAGCAAACGUUACUACUAUUAUAUUUUUUCUUUGUACCUACAAGAGAUCCUAUUUGUCACGACCCAAAUCUCUCUCCAUAAGAUGUCGUGAUGGUACCUAAUCUCUAAGACUAGGUAAGCCUAACAAUUGCGAAAGAAUUGAAAUAAAAAUAGAAUUAACAACUAAACUUCAACAGAUAACUAUAUAACUGAAAAAUGCCGCUCGGCAUGUACAAGUAAACCAACAUUCGAGUAUAAGCAAUUUCCAAAGACUCGGUAGUCACAAGUCACAAGCUAUAGGAAAAAACUCUAAUUGUCUCUAUACAUCAGUGUUUAGGAACAAUAAGAAGAAACAACAUAAAGGAUAGAGGAGGACUUCGAGGUCUGCAGACGCUGGCAAAUAUACCUUGAUGUCUUUGAAAAGCCACAAAAAAUACUCUCGACUAAUAGCGGGGUUGGUAGGAGGUACCUGGGUCUGCACACAAAACAUGUGCAGAAGAGUAGCAUGAGCAUGCCACAACGGUACCCAGUAGUGCCAAGCCUAACUCGGUAGAGUAAUGACGAGGUCAGGUUAGAGCCCUACUGGAAUAUAAUAAUUUAAGGAAGAAAAUAUAGCAAGGUAAUAAGAGACUGGAAAUUUAACAAGGAGAAAUUUCAAAAAAAAUAACAGCACGACACAUAAGGAUGAACAACAUGGGCGCUCCUGAGAUAUUGUCUCGUAUUCCAAUGCUCAACAGGAAAUCUCCCGAGGUACCGCUAUCACGCCCCGAACUGGGGGGGCAAGACCGACACCCAGUACCUCACCUAUCCUUGCGUACAAACUUGCAACUAAGGGGCUCUGAACGUAUGAUGUCAUACUUUGGUCAUGGGCCAUAUUGUAAGACGACUGCGAAUGCUGACUAAAUGUCAAAACAAAACUGGGCCGAUAAGGCCGUCAUAAUUAUUACGGCUGACAAACCAACCAAAUAUACAUACCAGGCCUGGAAGCCCAACAUAUUACACUAACUGACAUGAUAUGUCUACAAGCCUCUACUGACGGAUAUACUGUGAUCGGAACAGCUCCCUGAUCUACUCAUAACAUAUAUACAUAUAUAUACAAGAUGUACAUAAGGCUCUAGACCCGGAAACUCCGAAAGUCAUGGAGCUUACCGAUCAAGCUGAACUCGGGCAACACUUAUUAAAGAGGCCUACCCGUCUGUCUGUCUGACCUGCACGCAUGAAAUGUAGCGCCCCCAGAAAAGGGACGUCUGUACGAAAUAAUGUACUGAGUAUGUAAGGCAAUAUACUGAAAGCUGAAACUGAACUGAUAAUAUAAUAACUGCAAGUAGCUGGAAGUCAAAGAUAAUCUGAAGAUAUGCUUACCUGCUGAUACUGACUCAAUUCUCUCAAUAUAGUAAGUAAAAUAGUUGUCCGGCCCUAUAAGGCUCGGUAUACAUAUAUAUAUCUGCUCUGUCGUAGUAGGCUCGCUCAUAAGCGCUCGACCAUACUAGGCUCUGUAUCUCGACCAAUUGGGCUCGCUCAUAAGCGAUCGACCACAAUAGGCUCAGUAUAUAUAUAACUACUCUGUCGUAGUAGGCUCGCUCAUAAGCGCNNNNNNNNNNNNNNNNNNNNNNNNNNNNNNNNNNNNNNNNNNNNNNNNNNNNNNNNNNNNNNNNNNNNNNNNNNNNNNNNNNNNNNNNNNNNNNNNNNNNNNNNNNNNNNNNNNNNNNNNNNNNNNNNNNNNNNNNNNNNNNNNNNNNNNNNNNNNNNNNNNNNNNNNNNNNNNNNNNNNNNNNNNNNNNNNNNNNNNNNNNNNNNNNNNNNNNNNNNNNNNNNNNNNNNNNNNNNNNNNNNNNNNNNNNNNNNNNNNNNNNNNNNNNNNNNNNNNNNNNNNNNNNNNNNNNNNNNNNNNNNNNNNNNNNNNNNNNNNNNNNNNNNNNNNNNNNNNNNNNNNNNNNNNNNNNNNNNNNNNNNNNNNNNNNNNNNNNNNNNNNNNNNNNNNNNNNNNNNNNNNNNNNNNNNNNNNNNNNNNNNNNNNNNNNNNNNNNNNNNNNNNNNNNNNNNNNNNNNNNNNNNNNNNNNNNNNNNNNNNNNNNNNNNNNNNNNNNNNNNNNNNNNNNNNNNNNNNNNNNNNNNNNNNNNNNNNNNNNNNNNNNNNNNNNNNNNNNNNNNNNNNNNNNNNCUUGCGAGACUAGCAAAAUAUAUGUAAAUUUCGGGAUAUGAAUGUAAUGAUGAGAUCAUGCCAAAAUGAAGGAAGAGCUUAGCCUUAAUAUACCUUGACCGAUUCUCUUCACAAUCCCUUGUUAGUCGGAUCUCAAAAUUGUAUCCGUAGAGUUCCGCCCACGGAAGAGACUAUGGCAACUUAAGUAUUUUCAUCUUAUUAUACUUGAUUUUCGUAAUUCAAGAACUGCUUCAUUUACUAUGUAAAUCUAAAUUUGCUCCUUAAGCUAUGGCAACAACAUUCAAUUAAAAUAUGCUUCGGGGUCUGUUAGUGAAAAGUUGGGAAUAUUGAAGAGAAUCACUUUUUAAGGCUUGUGGAUAUUAGCAAAUAAUGAAGAGUAUUAUGUUGAUUCAUGGACAUCAAUCGUGAAAACAAUUAUCAAAUGCAACAAUCCCUCCAUUCUGAAAAUUUGGACAUGUCCGCAAGCAACCAUAGAGACGACACGUGUCUAUCAUUUCCAAAUCUUGCCACAUAUCUUAAUAGGUGUAAGAGUCAUAGAUUUUGCCAAGGCAAAAUCUGCCAUGUAAUGGUCUUAUUAAAAUAUUUUAGAUAAUUAUUAAUUACCCGCAAAAUUGAGAAUUAUUCCCACUUACUUGAAAUAUUAUUCACUUUUCACAUACCUUAUACGCCUUACUAUUAUGGUCAUGUGGUACCUUGUAUGGUACUAAUCCAUAAUUAUCGGGUAUUAUCGCUCGACCUGUAUUUUAUCCCAAAUUGGUCACUUUCAAUGAAACUCCUUUUCUUUAAUUCGUGUACCCCUUUAUUCUUCAUAGCACUUAUUUAUCGCUUGUUAUAAAUAGUGUAAUACUUAUAAUCCCAAAAUAAAUCUCAUUCCCGAAUUUACGUCGAUUAAUCUUACGACGAAGCUUUAACGUACGAAAAUAAAAAAUAUAAUAUCUCAUUUUCGGACUUUCAUUACUUUACUUAUGGUGUACUUUCACGCACGAAAACCUGGGGUGUAACAACCGCCUCGUAGAUCCAAAAGUAAAUAUGCAACGUGGAUCUCCCGAGGUACCGCCUCGUAGUCCCAAAAGUAAACACACAACUCAAAAUUGAUGGAAACAACAAUUACACCAAGAAAUCCUACAUUUUAAGAGUAAAUACAAGUCAAGGAAAAGCAGAAAAACAACUAAGCAUGUUGUACAGAUUUCAAAUAAGCAAUUAAGACAUGUAGACAAGCGAUAUUAGGCUAAAUAGGAUAACUACACAUGUUGGUAUAACUCAAUUAAGAUGUAACAGGUUACUGCUCAGUAAAAACCGAAUUUUAUAAUAAUUAGCCCGUGUACGCAAGGUGACACUCACAUAUCACAGAAGUAUGACAACAAUUCCAAAUCCUAAAGGGAUUUUCCUCACUCAAGGUUUGGAAAGCCACUUACCUCGAGCCAAGGUCAAUCAAUCAGUAAGAAUGGCUUUUCCUCGACUUUCCGACUCUAAAUGACCUAAAUCUAGCCAAAAGCAAUUACAUACAAAUAAAUAUAACUAUGUGAAACUAAUCUAGUUAAUGAAUCAAAACUUUAACAAGAAAUUAGAAAUUCGCCCCAAAAUUGACCGGACCCACGUCUCGAAAUCGGGUGAAAGUCACAAAAUACAAACACCAAUUCAACCACGAGUUCACUCGUACUCAAAUCUGAUACCAAAAUCUCAAUCGAACCCCAAAAAUUCGGUUGAAGAACUUCCCACUCUUUUCGCAAUUUCUCAACCCAAAACCUUAAUUAAAUGAUGAAAUUAACGAUAGAUUAGUGGGAUAUAACAAAAAACGAGUAAAGAAUCAUUACCCAAUUGUUUCCUCUGAAAAUCCUUCAAAAUAUCGCCUCAAUCCGAGCUCUCUAUCUCAAGUUAUGAAGAAAAAGACAAACCCUCGAUUUUGAAAUAUUUAUAUCUGCUCAGGAGAAUCCUUCUUCGCGAACGCGGAAAUUGCCUCGUGUUCGCGAAGCACAAAAAGCUACUGACCAAAAAUCCUCUUACAUGAAUGUGAGGGACCACUCGGAACACGGAGCUUUACUUGCCAGACAUUUCGCGAACGCGUAGGCUAAAUGCCUGGAGCACCAUCUGACCGUUCCUCUACGCGAACGCGUAACACCUAUCGCGAACGCGUAGACUCAAUGCUCCACAACUUCAUGCCGCGUAGACUCAAUGCUCCACAGCUUCACGAACGCGGGAACUACAUCGCGUACGUGAAGAACAAAACUUAGCUGGCCUCCCAGAUAACUUACGCGAACGCAAGACCUCUCUUGCGAAUGCGAUGACGGAAACCAGCAACUGAAGCACCGGAUUUUCUACAAUUCCAACAAGUUCAACUCUAGCCCGUUAACCACCCGGAAUCCACCCGAGGCUCCCGGGACCUCAACCAAACAUACCAACAAGUCCUAAAAUAUUAUACGAACUUAGUCGAGCCUUCAAAUCAUAUCAAACAACGCUAAAAAUAUGAAUCGUACUCCAAUUCAGGCUUAAUGAACUUUGAAACUUCAAACUUCUACAACCAUUGCCGAAACCUAUCAAAUCAAAUCCGAUUGACCUCAAAUUUUGCACAAAAGUCAUAUUUUAUAUUACGGACCUACUCCAACUUCAAGAAUUGGUAUCCGACCCCGAUAUCAAAAUGUUUACUCCCGGUCAAACUUCCCAAAAAUUCAACUUUCGCUAUUUCAAGCCUAAUUAAGCUACGGAUUUCCAAAUCACAAUCUGGACACGCUUCUAAGUCCAAAAUCACCCAACGGAGCUAAUGGAACCGACAAAACUCCAUUCCGGAGCUGUCUUCACACAGUUCCAACUACGGUCAAAUUCCUAGAAUUUAAGCUUUCAUUAUAGGGACUAAGUGUCCCAUUUCACUCAAAAACCAAAAAUAAAUCCUCCCAUCAAGUCACAUAAGCAUAAAAUGAUACAGAGGAAGCAGUAAAUAGGGUAUCGGGGCUAGUACUCUCAAAAUAACUGGCCGGAUUGUUACACUAUUAUUCUGCAUUCUUCGUCUAUCAAGCUAAAUCCUACAAGAAGUAUAUUGAAAUCAAUAAAUAUUUAUUUCCACGUUAAGUUAAUGAGUCACGGGCUUCUAUUCCAAUUUUUCAGCAUUAAUUUUCAUCUAGCGUUUGUUUUCUUGAUAUUUUCAAUACGUGCACAUAUAUUAUCCUUUUAGUAUUUAUUAAAAUUUAAAUAUCUCAAUUGGAAAGUAUGAAUCCGAAAUUCAAAACUUAAGAAAAAGAGAAAAGUUGAAUUUUUGAUACAAUCCCAAAAAGAAGAGAUGAUAGUACUCUAAUCGAUAUACUAAAACAAAUAAAAAGACUUGAUUCUCUUUCAAGUGCUUAUAGAAUAAUACUCAUUCAUUUCAAUUUAGAUGAUUUAGUUUGACUUGGCACAAAGUUUUAGAAAAAAAAGACAUUUGAAACAUGUGGUCCUAAAAACUUAAGGGGCAAAUGCUUUAUGGGGUCAUGACAUUUUUGUUGCUAUAAAAGCUUAUUAUUAAGAGUAAUAUGAGUAAAAUGAAAAGUUUAGUUAAAUUAUUUCCAAAUAUAGAAAUGUGUCAUUCUUUUUGAAACGGACUAAUAAGGAAAGCGUGUCAUCUAAAUUAAAACAGAAGGUGUAAUAAAAGUUCUUGUAACAAUUGCCUCUGGCCUCCUUCGAUCACAAAGUAGAAAUUUAAAAAAUAAGUUUUUUUUAAAAUUAAAAUUGAUAAAAUCUUACUUAAGAUCAACCAUGGUGCAAGAGAGAUUGAAUGGAUCAACCAUAUUAUCAAUUUAAAAAGAAUUAUUAGAAGAAAUUGAUUAUAAAAUAAUUAUUCGUAAUUUUACAUUUCAAAAAGCUAGAAACAUAAAUUUCAAAUAAAUAACAUAUAUGAAUUUUUUUUAGGAAAAAGGUUAAAGGCCUCUUACAAAAGUUUGGCUUUAGGUUCCAAUAGCACCUAGUCGCCCCUGUACCAAUAUCAUAACCGACUUGUAAAUAUCCUAGCAAUCAUUAUAUUGGCCACAAGUUCAUACCACCAUCAUAAUUGAUUUGCAAAAUAUUUUGGUAAAUCGUCAUAAUUGGCCAUAAAUUCUGACCAUUGACAUAGUUGCCAUGCGAAAAAUUCACCAAUAUGUUUAGCUUCAAGAAUGACCCAAAUCAACUUCAAAUGACUUCAAAUUUGAUAUAUAACCCUCCAAUAUCAAUUUCAACUUCAAUGGUUAGAUUAAACAUAAACCUUCAAAAAUCAAUAAAUUCACUAUUUCUUCUUCAAAAAGUUUUUUUUCAAGCUCGAACAAAAACCAACAAUGGUAUUUCUUUAUUUUCUCAACCAAACUAAUUCAAAUCAUCAAAGACAGACAAUAUAAGUUCAAUGAAAUAUUACCUACUUAAUUUUAAUUACAAAUAAGUAAUGAAUCUUCAAUUUUCUAUAUCACAUUUCAUUAUUUUUUAAUUUUAGCUGUGUCAUAAUUUAUUGGAAGAAAAAGAAGGAAAAUAUGAAAGAAGAGAAAAAAAUGCAGAAGGAUGAAGUAGGAGAAGAAGAAAAAGAUACAGAGGAAAGAGGAAAGAGGAAAGAGGAAAGAGGAAAGAGGAAAGAAGAAAAUAUAACAAAAAGCUAAAAAGAAUUAAUGGGAUCGAAAUACAAAUGAUGAUGACCAAGUGAGACUUUUUCAUGCAUUCAUGAUUCAUCUUAGCAUAUUUUCAUCUAGGCAUUUCAGAUGAUCAGACUUUCAGGUUUCAUUCUCUCCUCCAUACAUAUUUGAACACUCUGUUGCACACGAGAGUUUAUUUGAUCUUCCUAUUCUUAGGUACUUUUCACAAUAUCCAUCUUACUACUCUUUAUAAAAUUCAGCUUGGUUAUUAUAUCAUCAUCAAACCAAACAUGAGGCAGACUGAUGAUAUGAUGCUUUAGCUUAAACUAAGUUUACCAUUUCUUUUUCUUUUUUCUUGCAGGCUCUUUUUGCUUCCUUUUCCCCUUCUUGGUUAUGCAUAUAAGGCUCAUCAGAUUGGUAUACCAAGAGCUGCAGCAACGAGUACCUCAAGCCUAAAAAGGAAAGCGACAAUACAAAAGUAUUAUAGCACAAAAUAAGUAAGCAUUGACAAUUGAAUUUGAAGUUUUAGUUAUCACAUGACUGACCACAAGGGUCUUUUGCAUCCUCUAAAUUAGCAUGGAGCCUAAUCGACUUCACAUCACGUAUGAAGUUUCAAUUACUAAGCCUAAAAUUGUGAUUGCCUCUGAGAACUGGACUUCAAUGCCAAGCUCACCUGCUGGCUUUCUCUGGCUAUUCUUCAGACAAGAAGCUUCAGAGAGAUGCCAAUCUUCCCUGCAAUGUUGUUUGGAUCUCCGAUCCGACUUGCUAAUUUCCAACCGCCAUGUAUUUCAGUCUGGUCUUUUACGAAAAACAGGAAAAGAAAAGGAGGUAUAAAUAUUAUUUGGGCAAACUUCUGUGUCCCUGAAUGAACGAGUGAAAGAACAACCCGAAAUGAAUGGCAUCAUUCUCUUUUAUCCUCCUCAACAACUUCUCCUAGCCCAAACACAUGAUCUGCUGCAAUAGAUGCCUUCCUCUCCUUCCUUUCCAGUUUAGACACAAGAUCUCCUCCCACUAUUACUCCACUGCCUGUGAGGGACAGACCCUCCUCAUCAUCAUCAAGAGUCUCCCCUGAAUAUGCGUAUCUGUAAAAUUGUGAAGAGGUACCAAAUUAGAGACUAUUUUCAGAAAAACCUAACAAAUAAAGGACUAACCCCAGCAGACCAAGGAAUUUGUAGACGAACCAAAACUUUGCAUGAGCGAGAGAAACACAAGAUAUAAAAUAAAAUUAUCUUUUCUUUUGCAAAGUAAAAAGCAGUCACCACCAGCAACACAAGAGGAUAUAUGCUACAGAUCCAUCAAAACUCAUCGAAACUAGACCUUAAAUAAGUAAGAGAAACAAGGAAGGUUGGACUUGCCUAAUCUUAGAAGAGUUGGGAAGGUACAUGAAAGAUGUCGAAGGUUCAUAGGGAUGGCAAUUGGGGUACGGCAGGGCCUAUUUAGCAUUUUUCCAGAAUUUGCCCUGCCCCGCCCUAUCAAGCCCUACCCUGCCCUACCCCGCCCCGUUUAGACUAUCGUUCAUUUCAUUUUUAUUUUGUAAUAUUCUAUUCAAUUUUUAUAACUUUUUUACCUUUUUAAUGAAAUAUUUAAAAUUAACAUGUGAAUAAGAGUUGUUUAUGUAUAUUGUUCGAACAAAAUGUCUUAUAUCAAUGUUAUUAGUGAUAUUAAUUAUUAGUGAAUGAUGCUAGAAUAAAUGGAAGCUACAUAGAGUAAAAAAAUAUUGUAAGGAAAAUCAGGCAUAUGUAAUGUGGUCAAAUUUAUUUGUUGAAUUGAACGACUCACUACAGUGUAAGAUGGAGACAAAAUAUUAUAUUUUAUUGGCUAUUAAUCAAUUCCAAUCGCCUUAUUAUGGGGUGUAAGAGUGUAAUCUAUAGUAGAUUAUUUUCUUUGGUAUUUACCCAGAGACUCUUAGUUUUGCUCUGAAGAUCUAAACUAGGAGUAGUAAACGGGCGGGGCGGGUCGGAUAUGGUUCGGAUCGAAAACGGGAUGAAAAAACGGAUCAAUUAUCCGGCCCGACCCAUAUUUAAUACGGAUAAAAAACGGGUUAACCGACAGAUAAUAUGGGCUACCCGUAUUAUCUAUGAAUUCUUGUAUAUGAUCACUUUUGGGAGAAUUCUUAGUCUCCUUAACUUGAGGAACCUCCAAUUUGAGGCUUUACAAAUGUAAAAGUUAGACCCAUUGAUUAUCCAUUGGUUACUUAUUGGUUAUCCAUUUUUUAAAGGGAUAAUAUGGUUCUAAUCCAUAUUUGACCCGUUUUUAAAAAGUUCAUUAUCCAACCCAUUUUUUAGUGGAUAAUAUGGGUGGUUAACUGUUUUCUUUGAACCAUUUUUCCACCCCUAAUCUAAACAUAUGAUUUUACAGAAAAUGUGAUUAUUAGAGCAAAAGGAAAUCAAAAGAAGAUUUUCUCAUAUCUUUGUUAUGAUAUAUUUGAAACAAGGUGAGAGUGGAAAUACUAAAACAUUUGUGAGUAAAGCGAUGCACAUUUUUAUGAAAUCUUUAUUGGAAAUUACAAAUCAAAUUAAUGAAAUAAUUUUUUUUAGAAGACAAUCAAAUAAUGACAAAUUUCCUUUCAAUUUGGAGAUGCUAAACCGAGGACAUCAACGAUUUUGGCAUUUCAAGAGUUCAUCCUGGUCAUUUUAUCUGGCACAAAUUUUAAUUAUAAACAUCGGUCAUUUAACUUCUUAUUGGGAGAUAAUUAGAAAGGAAAUAUUUUUCUAAUAAUUAGUAGAAAACAAUUGGAAAGGUCAACUCUACAGCAGGUGCACUUUAUACAUGAAAUGCAUUAUAAUGUGUAAAUGCAAAUACUGUUUUCUGUUUCAAUUAAUUAAGAUAUAAGUUUUGCCCCUUAAGGACAGCAUUUUACUUUCGCUUAGCAUGUUCAAACUAAUAGGAAAGGAGUAAUGCUCAUUCAUUUUAAUAUAACUUGUCAAUUUAGGAGAGAAAUAUCAAAAGAACCACUAACAUCUUUAAACUCACAUUGUUAUACUCGUGCAAAACAAAAACAAAACAAAUUCAGCAAAAACUAUUUAUACAGAUAAAUAUUAACAGCUAAAAAUGAUUCCAAACAAGUCCUAUUUUCCAUCCAACUCCACAUAUUGAAGGCAACGAAUAUUUGUUACUCUGGGCACUUUGUCUUCCCAUACUCAAUAUAGAUCUCUUAUAUUCACUGAUAAUGGACAGUGCAGUAUCAUUUUCUUCUGUAAGCAAAAGACUCAAUUUACAGCAACAAUCACAUACUCACAGCUAGUCAUGCAUAUGUACCAUGCUUUCCAUUUAUAAAUGAAUCAAUAGCCAUCACUAACAUGCAACACAUUUAGAAGUAUGUCUUAAUCCUCAAUCCAUUUGCAGUAAUCUUCGGCCAGUAACAAUAGAAGCAAGCUAUACUAAUUGCACUGACAAGAAAAGGAAGGGGACAAGGAUUAUUCACCUGGUUGGGUUAUUCGAAGGAGCCCAGAGAAUGCAUAUCACCGUUAAAAGCAAGUAUGCUAGUAUGGUCCAGAAAGCAGGGAUAAUCCAGGCUCUUUGCCACAAUUCACUCAAUGGAUCACUUGCAUUAAAGUACAACUGCAUAAACAAAUAUAUUAAUUUCAGAGAGUAAUCAAGAAAAGAGACUUAUAAUAUUGAGGAAAGAGAAAGGGAAUAGAACGAUAAAGAAUACCUCAUAGCCAAUCCAAGCAACAGAGAGCAGAACUGAAACUGCUAAAGAAUUGGUAAACUUUCGGUACAGUUCAAGCUUGGCCACGCUUCUACGAAUCUGAGGUACACAUGGGCAAAGAAGGAAGCCUUCAGAUUCAAUACAAGGAUGUUUGUGUUUUCCUCCCACAUUGAAUAAAACCAACACUCUCCAGUCAAAAAAAGAGAAAAACAAAACGUACACUGUUGAAAUUUUAUAAAACUUCUCCUUGGGUUAGGAAGACUUAAAGAGAGUAAUGAACUAUGAUGGAAUCAAAGAUCAGUGCAAUUGUUGAGAUUCUCUAUAUCUCCAACAUAAGUGCAUUUGCAAUCAACUAUACAUCAACCAGAGUUUAAAGGCAUCAGGUAUCCGCCAAACAAUUCAAAAGAAAAAAGAGUAUAUUUAUGAUGAAAAUGCGAUUAUCUUGUAGUUUGAGCAAAAUGAGAUUCAGAAAGCAGAGAAUAUGGCAGUAUAUAACUGAUCAACCAUCUUGUAUUUCUUAUUAGUAUUUUUAACCAAUCUCUAACUAACAGAAUACAGAGAAAGAAAGUUUUUAUCACCUGAAGCUUCUCUAAAGUUUUGGAUAAUGAGGAAAAUAUCCAUACAAUGAAGCAGGAAUCUAAUAAAGCAACAGGUAACACCAAAAAGAUUCUCGCUUUUCCGGAGAAGUCGUUGAUAUUUCCCAAAUGUUCAACCAGCUCCAAGGCUUCAGAAGCUAGAAAGUAUACCACACCCAGAAGAAGUACCUUUGAGGUUAUACCGCCCAGUGUGGGCCGUACAACACCAUAACCCAUUGAAACGACUAGAAGAAGUAAACGUGAGACGGUCUUCUUUAUAGCACUGAAGGUAACAGCCCACAUGGUAAUUCCCAUUGGCCUGCUACCUGUGGCAUUAAAAUUUGCAUAUUCAAAAUACCAAAGAGCCAUUUCACACAUUCCAAGACCUAUCACGGCAGUAAUGUGAUAGUGCAACUGUAUUAUAUCCUUCCAGUGUUGUACGAAACGUAAAAACCACAAGAGACCAAGAAUGAGGUACGCUAGAGACAUCAAACCAUAAAAUGUCAUUAGUGGUGCCAUCUUCCCAGGUAGAUAGCCUUCUGGGUUUCUCCAAACACUUCUACCACUAAUUAAUGUCCCCUGGAGUUCUGGAUUGCAGAACAUAAAAUAGAGAUAAUACAUUCCAGUCUUGUUGAUCUCGACAGUCUGGAGUACCAUAUUAGCCUCUUCAUUGUUUCCUUCAAAGGACGUCUGAAUCCGCUUUGGCCACCCAGGGUUCUCAGAAUCUUGAUGGAUUAUAACCUCUCCUACCUUGCAGGAUCCAUCCUUGGCAAGAGCAGGGGUGCAACAUAUUGCCUCAGAAUUAAGAUAGGAUCCUCCAAUCAUAUUCCUGUCUUUGACCUCGACUAUUAUGGCUUCAACAAUUCCAGUACUCUGCUGCAUCUCAUUUUGCUUAUUUGCAGCCUCCUUUGUUCUUCUAAAGGUGAUUGUCUCAAACCUGAAAUCAUUAUGCAAGAAAGCAAUGAGUCACUAAAAUUAUUCAUCACAUAUUUUGGACAUUCUAUUUAUAAAACACAACAGCCAUCAUAAAGACAAUAGCGAAUUCAGUUCAAUCUAUUAAAGAUAGAGAAGAACUUGGUCAUGCGAGGACAAAUAUCAAAACAUUUUAUUUCUGGAAAACAUCUUGAAACUUUCGGCUAAUUAAAAAUAUCCAAACUUCUACUCCAUAUGACUUAUUUCACCUCAGAGUUGUUGUCAAUCUCUAACCAUAAAAAGUCUCAUCAAAACACUAUCCUAAUGCUGACCCUACCAUUUGUAGAAUUAUUUUAUGCCAUCAACUUUUAUAUGCAACCAACAACAAUGAUAUACAUAGUGUAAUCCCACAAGUGGGGUUUGGGGAGGGUAGGGUGUAUGCAGACCUUACCCCCAUCUUGUGUAAGGUAGAGAGGCUGUUUUCGAUAGACCCUCGGCUCAAAGAAAAAACAAAGCAAGUUUGAAAAAAAACUUUAGCAAAGAAGCCAUGUUGAAAAUACUAGAGAAAAUAAACAAUAACGACAACAAAAUAAUAAGAUACCGACGCAAAGGAAACAACAGGUAAUAUAAAGAAAUUCAGAAUAGGAUAAUACGAGAAUAAUAAUAAUACUACUAAUAUGUAGAAGGAGGAGUAGAUAACGUGCUCCAAACUGUCACCUAUCUCUCACUCUCACUCUCACUCUCAAGAACGUGAGUCAACGUUCCUCGACUACCUACUAACCUUCUACCCUAAUCCUUGACCUCCACACAGAUAGGAUCAUGUCCUCGGUAAGUUGAAGAUGUGCCAUGUCAUAUCUAAUCACCUUACCCAACACUGAUGAUUAAUAGAUGGAGAGAAUUUUAGUAAUGAAGUUACAAUUGUAGGGGAAGUGGCGAGGAUGAGGAAGAAUGGGGGGGCGUAACCGUGUAAUUAAUAGAAGUUAAUAAGUGAGUUCUUUUUUUUUUUUUAAAUAUAGCACAUAAAUAGAUAUAGACUGAAGUUUGCAAAGACCCAUCGCAGCUUCCUCAAUUGCUGAAUAAAACACUAUUGUCCUGUAUGGAAAAUCUCCCACUUUACUGUAAUCUAACAUAAAUGGUUGAGAA
rnacentral:lncRNA from 1 species